CAGCCGCCACGGGAAUACGAAGGGGGCUAGCGUUGUUCGGAAUUACUGGGCGUAAAGCGCACGUAGGCGGAUAUUUAAGUCAGGGGUGAAAUCCCGCAGCUCAACUGCGGAACUGCCUUUGAUACUGGGUAUCUUGAGUAUGGAAGAGGUUAGUGGAAUUGCGAGUGUAGAGGUGAAAUUCGUAGAUAUUCGCAGGAACACCAGUGGCGAAGGCGGCUAACUGGUCCAUAACUGACGCUGAGGUGCGAAAGCGUGGGGAGCAAACAGGAUUAGAUACCCCCGUAGUCCCUGUCUCUUAUAA
rnacentral:rRNA from 1 species